rnacentral:sRNA from 1 species
UAACUCAUUAUCAUUGGAGCAAUAUUAUUCCCUGUUCUAAAAUGGUACCACAAAUGAGUAGACUUAGAUUAUAAUUCUUUCUCUUGCUCCUUCAGGUGAAUCAGUUCAGACAGCUGUAUUCCAAAGUCAUCAAUGAUAAGCAUGAUGAUGUCAUGGCCAAGUUUGGCGCUAUUCUGGCCCAGGGCAUACUGGAUGCAGGUGGUCAUAAUGUCACAAUCUCCUUACAGUCCAGGACUGGGCACACUCAUAUGCCUUCUGUGGUUGGCGUCCUUGUAUUUACCCAGUUCUGGUUCUGGUUUCCUCUUUCACACUUCCUGUCAUUGGCUUAUACCCCUACCUGUGUCAUUGGCCUUAACAAGGACUUAAAGAUGCCGAAAGUUCAGUAUAAAUCGAACUGUAAACCAUCCACAUUUGCAUAUCCUGCCCCUCUGGAAGUACCAAAAG